AAAUUGAAACACUGAACAACGAAAGUUGUUCGUGAGUCUCUCAAAUUUUCGCAACACGAUGAUGAAUCGAAAGAAACAUCUUCGGGUUGUGAGGUUAAGCGACUAAGCGUACACGGUGGAUGCCCUGGCAGUCAGAGGCGAUGAAGGACGUGCUAAUCUGCGAUAAGCGUCGGUAAGGUGAUAUGAACCGUUAUAACCGGCGAUUUCCGAAUGGGGAAACCCAGUGUGUUUCGACACACUAUCAUUAACUGAAUCCAUAGGUUAAUGAGGCGAACCGGGGGAACUGAAACAUCUAAGUACCCCGAGGAAAAGAAAUCAACCGAGAUUCCCCCAGUAGCGGCGAGCGAACGGGGAGCAGCCCAGAGCCUGAAUCAGUGUGUGUGUUAGUGGAAGCGUCUGGAAAGGCGCGCGAUACAGGGUGACAGCCCCGUACACAAAAAUGCACAUGCUGUGAGCUCGAUGAGUAGGGCGGGACACGUGGUAUCCUGUCUGAAUAUGGGGGGACCAUCCUCCAAGGCUAAAUACUCCUGACUGACCGAUAGUGAACCAGUACCGUGAGGGAAAGGCGAAAAGAACCCCGGCGAGGGGAGUGAAAAAGAACCUGAAACCGUGUACGUACAAGCAGUGGGAGCACGCUUAGGCGUGUGACUGCGUACCUUUUGUAUAAUGGGUCAGCGACUUAUAUUCUGUAGCAAGGUUAACCGAAUAGGGGAGCCGAAGGGAAACCGAGUCUUAACUGGGCGUUAAGUUGCAGGGUAUAGACCCGAAACCCGGUGAUCUAGCCAUGGGCAGGUUGAAGGUUGGGUAACACUAACUGGAGGACCGAACCGACUAAUGUUGAAAAAUUAGCGGAUGACUUGUGGCUGGGGGUGAAAGGCCAAUCAAACCGGGAGAUAGCUGGUUCUCCCCGAAAGCUAUUUAGGUAGCGCCUCGUGAAUUCAUCUCCGGGGGUAGAGCACUGUUUCGGCAAGGGGGUCAUCCCGACUUACCAACCCGAUGCAAACUGCGAAUACCGGAGAAUGUUAUCACGGGAGACACACGGCGGGUGCUAACGUCCGUCGUGAAGAGGGAAACAACCCAGACCGCCAGCUAAGGUCCCAAAGUCAUGGUUAAGUGGGAAACGAUGUGGGAAGGCCCAGACAGCCAGGAUGUUGGCUUAGAAGCAGCCAUCAUUUAAAGAAAGCGUAAUAGCUCACUGGUCGAGUCGGCCUGCGCGGAAGAUGUAACGGGGCUAAACCAUGCACCGAAGCUGCGGCAGCGACGCUUAUGCGUUGUUGGGUAGGGGAGCGUUCUGUAAGCCUGCGAAGGUGUGCUGUGAGGCAUGCUGGAGGUAUCAGAAGUGCGAAUGCUGACAUAAGUAACGAUAAAGCGGGUGAAAAGCCCGCUCGCCGGAAGACCAAGGGUUCCUGUCCAACGUUAAUCGGGGCAGGGUGAGUCGACCCCUAAGGCGAGGCCGAAAGGCGUAGUCGAUGGGAAACAGGUUAAUAUUCCUGUACUUGGUGUUACUGCGAAGGGGGGACGGAGAAGGCUAUGUUGGCCGGGCGACGGUUGUCCCGGUUUAAGCGUGUAGGCUGGGUUUCCAGGCAAAUCCGGAAAAUAAAGGCUGAGGCGUGAUGACGAGGCACUACGGUGCUGAAGCAACAAAUGCCCUGCUUCCAGGAAAAGCCUCUAAGCAUCAGGUAACAUCAAAUCGUACCCCAAACCGACACAGGUGGUCAGGUAGAGAAUACCAAGGCGCUUGAGAGAACUCGGGUGAAGGAACUAGGCAAAAUGGUGCCGUAACUUCGGGAGAAGGCACGCUGAUAUGUAGGUGAAGCCACUCGCGCAUGGAGCUGAAAUCAGUCGAAGAUACCAGCUGGCUGCAACUGUUUAUUAAAAACACAGCACUGUGCAAACACGAAAGUGGACGUAUACGGUGUGACGCCUGCCCGGUGCCGGAAGGUUAAUUGAUGGGGUCAGCGCAAGCGAAGCUCUUGAUCGAAGCCCCGGUAAACGGCGGCCGUAACUAUAACGGUCCUAAGGUAGCGAAAUUCCUUGUCGGGUAAGUUCCGACCUGCACGAAUGGCGUAAUGAUGGCCAGGCUGUCUCCACCCGAGACUCAGUGAAAUUGAACUCGCUGUGAAGAUGCAGUGUACCCGCGGCAAGACGGAAAGACCCCGUGAACCUUUACUAUAGCUUGACACUGAACAUUGAGCCUUGAUGUGUAGGAUAGGUGGGAGGCUUUGAAGUGUGGACGCCAGUCUGCAUGGAGCCGACCUUGAAAUACCACCCUUUAAUGUUUGAUGUUCUAACGUGGACCCGUGAUCCGGGUUGCGGACAGUGUCUGGUGGGUAGUUUGACUGGGGCGGUCUCCUCCUAAAGAGUAACGGAGGAGCACGAAGGUUGGCUAAUCCUGGUCGGACAUCAGGAGGUUAGUGCAAUGGCAUAAGCCAGCUUGACUGCGAGCGUGACGGCGCGAGCAGGUGCGAAAGCAGGUCAUAGUGAUCCGGUGGUUCUGAAUGGAAGGGCCAUCGCUCAACGGAUAAAAGGUACUCCGGGGAUAACAGGCUGAUACCGCCCAAGAGUUCAUAUCGACGGCGGUGUUUGGCACCUCGAUGUCGGCUCAUCACAUCCUGGAGCUGAAGUAGGUCCCAAGGGUAUGGCUGUUCGCCAUUUAAAGUGGUACGCGAGCUGGGUUUAGAACGUCGUGAGACAGUUCGGUCCCUAUCUGCCGUGGGCGCUGGAGAACUGAGGGGGGCUGCUCCUAGUACGAGAGGACCGGAGUGGACGCAUCACUGGUGUUCGGGUUGUCAUGCCAAUGGCACUGCCCGGUAGCUAAAUGCGGAAGAGAUAAGUGCUGAAAGCAUCUAAGCACGAAACUUGCCCCGAGAUGAGUUCUCCCUGACUCCUUGAGAGUCCUGAAGGAACGUUGAAGACGACGACGUUGAUAGGCCGGGUGUGUAAGCGCAGCGAUGCGUUGAGCUAACCGGUACUAAUGAACCGUGAGGCUUAACCUU
rnacentral:rRNA from 1 species